AAUGAGCACAGAAUGCGCGUGAUAAACUUGCACGAGCCGAUUGUUUGUGGCAGGUGCUGCUGCUGCUGAGUGUCUCGUUAGCCGAGUCGUCCAACACAACACACCUACACGAUCGAGAACGGUAAGCAAGGAAGUGUGCAGCAGUAGUUAACAGGCAAACGUCAAGUCCUCGGGGUGCCAGACAACGCGACACGCGCGCCCUAACAUUGAGGUUGCCUCGAGACACCUGGUCGCGUGCACGAUCUUACCACAGGGCGGGCAGCACAGGGGUAACACGGAGCAGAUGUGAUUUGUCGUCUGCUUUAGCGCUAACUUGACGAUAUUGGACGAUUCCCCUCUUAGGGGGAUUUUUUUUUGCAGUGGCUUGGAUACGAAACGGAGCGAAGAUUUAUGCAUAAUUGCCUUGCCGCUGUAAAAUGCAUUGCUCCAUAGCUGAUGUGGAAUGCAAGGGGAAAAAAGCGGGAGAGUAAAGUCGAGGACGAUUAAAUCCGAUACGAUCAUUGAAAGCCGGACUGAAUCCACUGGAAUACCAACCAUCACUAUGUAGAAGACCUCGUUCCCUGAGGCAAGUCGGUGCUCGUGUUACUCUUGACUCUAGUCAAGUGACUGCAGAUAUCUAAAAAAACGAAUGCAUCAUAGUGUUACCUGAUAACUGGCCUCUUCAAGUCAUGCCUGGCAUUUCUGGCUUACUAGACUCAAUGAUACCACGUAGUUGGAUAGUUAAAGACUGGCGCCGCUGUCGCAUCUACCACCGGGACCGCUGGCAAGUUAUUGAAAAGAAAAAGUGCUUCAAAAACUGUUCAUCUAAUGUUUACAUAAUAAGCUCACGCUGUAGGCAAUGGAAAACUCUUAUUAAUCGAUGAACGCUAGCCUGUACUUUAUGUUACCGUGCUAUGCAAUUUGAUUCACCCUUUUGCUCUCGAGAUCGGUUUUCACACGAACGAACGAACAAUUCGAUGUGGUUCACGAUGCAUUCGUUGCUACAUUUU